UACGGAGGGUGCAAGCGUUAUCCGGAAUCACUGGGUUUAAAGGGUGCGUAGGCGGUCUGCUAAGUCAGUUGUGAAAUUCCCCGGCUUAACCGGGUGGACUGCGAUUGAUACUGUUGGACUUGAAUCAGGUUGAGGUAGGCGGAAUGUGACAUGUAGCGGUGAAAUGCUUAGAUAUGUCAUAGAACACCGAUUGCGAAGGCAGCUUGCUGGGCUUCGAUUGACGCUGAGGCACGAAAGCGUGGGGAGCAAACAGG
rnacentral:rRNA from 1 species